GACGAACGCUGGCGGCGUGCUUAACACAUGCAAGUCGAACGGAAAGGCCCUGCUUUUGUGGUGUUCUCGAGUGGCGAACGUGUGUGUAACACGUGAGUAACCUCCCCUUUUCUUUGAGAUAACUUCAGGAAACUGUGUCUAAUACCGUAUAGGAGCUCCUUCUUCAUGUUGGUGGUUGGAAAUUUUCGGCUGUUGGGGAUUGACUCCCGGCUUAUCAGCUUGUUGGUGGGGUAGUUGCUUACCAAGCCUUUGACGGGUAGCCGGCCUGAGAGGGUGACCGGCAACAUGGGGACGGAGAUCAGGCCAAAACUCCUCAGGGAGGAAGCAGUGGGGAAGAUUGAACAAUGGGGCGAAGCUUGAUGAAGGACGGCAGCGGGCGGGAUGACGGCAUUGGGUUUGUAACCCGUUUUAGCAUGUGACGAAGUGUGAGUGACGGUAAUGGGUAAAGAAGCACCGGCUAACUACGUG
rnacentral:rRNA from 1 species